rnacentral:rRNA from 1 species
UACGAAGGGGGCUAGCGUUGUUCGGAUUUACUGGGCGUAAAGCGCACGUAGGCGGGUUGUUAAGUCAGGGGUGAAAUCCUGGAGCUCAACUCCAGAACUGCCUUUGAUACUGGCCACCUAGAGGCUGGAAGAGGUUAGUGGAAUUCCCAGUGUAGAGGUGAAAUUCGUAGAUAUUGGGAAGAACCCCAGUGGCGAAGGCGGCUAACUGGUCCAGAUCUGACGGUGAGGUGCGAAAGCGUGGGGAGCAAACAGG